rnacentral:miRNA from 1 species
UUGGUAAGAAGAUGUUAAAAAAAGUUGUUCGUCAUGAUGAGGGCUACAACUUUGCUUAAUAUCCUUUUAACCAAUUAUGCGUAUUUAAGGAGAUAGCGCAGCGCAUGCGCGGAACGUAUCUCCUUAUCUUUGCACUUUUUGGUAAGAAGAUGUUAACAAAAGUUGUUCGUCAUGAUGAGGGCUACAACUUUGCUUAAUAUCCUUUUAACAAAUUAUGCG